CCUACGGGAGGCAGCAGUGAGGAAUAUUGGGCAAUGGGCGCGAGCCUGAACCAGCCAAGUAGCGUGAAGGAUGACUGCCCUACGGGUGGUAAACUUCGUUUAUAAAGGAAUAAAGUGAGGCACGUGUGCCGUUGUGUAUGUACGGUAUGAAUAAGGAACGGCUAACUCCGUGCCAGCAGCCGCGGUAAUACGGAGGAUCCGAGCGUUAUCCGGAUUUAUUGGGUUUAAAGGGAGCGUAGAGGGGUUGGUAAGUCAGUUGUGAAAGUUUGCGGCUCAACCGUCAAAUUGCAAUUGAUACUGGCAGUCUUGAGUACGGUUGAGGUCGGCGGAAUUCGUGUUGUAGCG
rnacentral:rRNA from 1 species